rnacentral:rRNA from 1 species
AAUCAACGCUGGCGGCGUGCCUAACACAUGCAAGUCGAACGCGAAAGUCCCGCAAGGGAUUAGUAGAGUGGCAAACGGGUGAGUAACACGUGGGUGACCUGCCUUCGAGCGGGGGAUAACGUCCCGAAAGGGACGCUAAUACCGCAUAACAUCCUGCCUUUUAAGAGGCGGUGAUCAAAGCUGGGGAUUCGCAAGAACCUGGCACUUGAAGAGGGGCCCGCGCCUGAUUAGCUAGUUGGGGGGUAAUGGCCUACCAAGGCAACGAUCAGUAUCCGGCCUGAGAGGGCGGACGGACACACUGGGACUGAGACACGGCCCAGACUCCUACGGGAGGCAGCAGUGGGGAAUUGUUCGCAAUGGGCGCAAGCCUGACGACGCAACGCCGCGUGGAGGAUGAAGACC